rnacentral:rRNA from 1 species
GACAGAGGGUGCAAACGUUGUUCGGAAUUACUGGGCGUAAAGCGUGUGUAGGCGGUCUCUUAAGUCGGAUGUGAAAGCCCCGGGCUCAACCCGGGAAGUGCACUCGAAACUGGGAGGCUAGAGUACUGGAGAGGUUGGUGGAAUUCUCGGUGUAGAGGUGAAAUUCGUAGAUAUCGUGAGGAACACCGGUAGCGAAGGCGGCCAACUGGACAGAUACUGACGCUGAGACACGAAAGCGUGGGGAGCAAACAGG